GAUGAACGCUGGCGGCGUGCCUAAUACAUGCAAGUCGAGCGAACGGACGAGAAGCUUGCUUCUCUGAUGUUAGCGGCGGACGGGUGAGUAACACGUGGAUAACCUACCUAUAAGACUGGGAUAACUUCGGGAAACCGGAGCUAAUACCGGAUGAUAUUUUGAACCGCAUGGUUCAAAAGUGAAAGACGGUCUUGCUGUCACUUAUAGAUGGAUCCGCGCUGCAUUAGCUAGUUGGUAAGGUAACGGCUUACCAAGGCAACGAUGCAUAGCCGACCUGAGAGGGUGAGCGGCCACACUGGAACUGAGACACGGUCCAGACUCCUACGGGAGGCAGCAGUAGGGAAUCUUCCGCAAUGGGCGAAAGCCUGACGGAGCAACGCCGCGUGAGUGAUGAAGGUCUUCGGAUCGUAAAACUCUGUUAUUAGGGAAGAACAUAUGUGUAAGUAACUGUGCACAUCUUGACGGUACCUAAUCAGAAAGCCACGGCUAACUACGU
rnacentral:rRNA from 1 species